rnacentral:rRNA from 1 species
AGAGUUUGAUCCUGGCUCAGGACGAACGCUGGCGGCGUGCCUAAUACAUGCAAGUCGAGCGGAUCCCUUCGGGGAUUAGCGGCGGACGGGUGAGUAACACGUGGGGAACCUGGCAUGAAGUGGGGGAUAACGCCUGGAAACGGGUGCUAAUUCCGCAUAGACUCUUUGCUCGCAUGAGUGGAGAAGGAAAGGCGCUAUGGCGUUCUGUUGUGAUGGCCCCGCGGCGCAUUAGCUAGUUGGUGGGGUAAUGGCUUACCAAAGCGACGAUGCGGUGCCGACCUGGAAGGGUGACCGGCCACACUGGGACUGAGACAGGGCCUAGACUCCUACGGGAGGGCAGCAGUAGGGAAUCUUCCGCAAUGGGCAAAAGCCUGACGGAGCAACGCCGUGUGAAUGAAGACGGUCUUCGGAUUGUAAAGUUCUUUCUUUGGGGACGGAGUAGGGAGAGAGGGAAUGCUCUUCUUGAGACGGUACCCAAGGAGGAGGCCCCGGCUAACUACGUGCCAGCAGCCGCGGUAAUACGUAGGGGGCAAGCGUUGUCCGGAAUGACUGGGCGUAAAGCGCGCGCAGGCGGUCUUUUAAGUCUGAGGUGAAAGGCUGGGGCUCAACCCUGGCAUCGCCUUGGAACGGGAAGACUUGAGGACUGGAGAGGCAAGGGGAAUUCCACGUGUAGCGGUGAAAUGCGUAGAGAUGUGGAGGAAUACCAGUGGCGAAGGCGCCUUGCUGGACAGGGCCUGACGCUGAGGCGCGAAGGCGUGGGGAGCAAACAGGAUUAGAUACCCUGGUAGUCCACGCGGUAAACGAUGAGUGCUAGGUGUCGGAGGGUACCCCCUCCGGUGCCGAAGGAAACCCAAUAAGCACUCCGCCUGGGGAGUACGGUCGCAAGACUGAAACUCAAAGGAAUUGACGGGGGCCCGCACAAGCAGUGGAGCAUGUGGUUUAAUUCGAAGCAACGCGAAGAACCUUACCAGGACUUGACAUUCCCCUGACAGGAGUAGAGAUAUUCCGCUCUUCGGGGCAGGGGAGACAGGUGGUGCAUGGUUGUCGUCAGCUCGUGUCGUGAGAUGUUGGGUUAAGUCCCGCAACGAGCGCAACCCUUGAUCAGUGUUACCAGCACGUAAAGGUGGGGACNCACUGAUGACUGCCGGUGACAAACCGGAGGAAGGCGGGGAUGACGUCAAAUCAUCAUGCCCCUUAUGUCCUGGGCCACACACGUGCUACAAUGGGCGGUACAACGGGGAGCAAGAGAGCGAUCUGGUGCGAAACCCUAAAAGCCGUUCGUAGUUCGGAUUGCAGGCUGCAACCCGCCUGCAUGAAGCCGGAAUUGCUAGUAAUCGCGGAUCAGCAUGCCGCGGUGAAUCCGUUCCCGGGCCUUGUACACA